GCAAUGGCUGUGACUGAAGACAACACAGGUGUGUAUGUGGUUUUCCAAUCCAAGCACAGAGGCCACGACUUUGAACUGGGUGGUGUUUUUCUGUCCAAGUCGGAAAGAGCUGCUAUUGCUGACAAGCUGCGAGAAGGCGUGUCCAUGGAUGCAGUACUGGAUAAUGUGCGGUCCAACGUGGAUGAGACGUUCCACUGCAUUAACCUGUUAAGCAAGCAGGAUCCACCAAGGACAACCUUACAAAAGUGAAAUUUUUGAGAGAAAAAAUGAGGACCUUUUGGAUGAGAGAUUUUAUGCUAGUCAUUAUGACCACACCACAACUGAUUGUGUAUGUGUCGAUGGAACACAUGGAACAGCAGGUGAGCAUUACUAUAUAAAUGCAUUAAUAAUAAAAGCAAAAAAGAGGGAAUGCUGUUUGAGAAUAAUUGCAAUAGAUAUAA